AACAAUAUUGAACUAUUUAAAGCUCCACUCUACACAACAAAAAUGUGACAUCCACAACCUCCACGGGGAAGUUCUCUUUAAACAAGAAGAAGGAGCCAGCAAUCAUUAAAGAUCUACACAUUGCUAUACAAUGGGUUGUCAAGAAUGAGGCACUGUUCUGUGGGCGCAUAACCAUGCCAAGUUAUGUGUCAAUGAAUGAAGAUGACCGCCAGAAGGCCAUAGAUAACGUGAUGCAAAGAGAAGAACCAGAAGCAAGGGAGUCAUUCCUCUUUGUAUUUCAGCAUAGAGAAGAUAUAGAGUUGUUUUUGCAGGCAUGUCUUGACCAACAGGGCCUCCAAGUUAAUGCCAUGUUCAACAAAUGACUGAUGGACAAGGGGUGGUGGUGUGUUUCUGUUUAAAUUAUUGAUAAUAAUAAAAAAAUAAGAUAAUUAACACCA